UUUUAGAACUUUGAAUCCUAUCAAGACUUCCAAUACUUCCAAGACUUAUCAUACUUUUAAUCUUUUUAUAGCUAAUGAGAUUUUCCACAAAUGUACAUACCGUAGAAAACAAAAAAUUGAAUUUUAUUGAAUAUUAAUUUCAUAAAAGCUGUCUAAUGUGGGCAAUAGGAACCACAGCACCCACCUAUCUCUAUUUGAAAAAAGACUUACUGAAGAUUUAUGUCUGUGGUUAAAGACUCAAGACCUAUCAAGAUUCAAAAUUGAUCGAGACUUUCCAAGGCUGCAUCAUUACAUACACGUAUACACACUGCCUGUCACGAAUGCACGCACGGUGUGCGCGCGGGUUGAACGUAACGACAACGACGUGGAACAAUUACAAACUAACCGUGAUUCCGCCAGACGGAAGAGACAGACCCCUUCGUUCAUCGAAUCUCUUUGUUCCCAAAAGGAUGUUAAUGAUCGGUGAACAAAGGUAUAUGUCUGAGGACUUUUAUAGCGAGGAAUGGAUGCACAAAAGAGAUAGCCUCGUAAUAUGCUUGGCUGGAGUUUGAACGAUAUCGAAUAUGUGGCGACCCGUUAUCGAUCGAUAACUUUCUGUCUGGCUACACACCGUACGGCCAAGGAAACGAUACGCCAUCUCAUGGGUUUUGUGGUUAAAAUAUCUCUGAUCGAGCGAUACGAUUACCGUUCUAUAUACGUAUCACUAUUAACGCACGUGUGUACGCCCGUGCGUGAAUAUUUUUAAUGCGUCGUACACCGCUCCGCGAGCGAUUUCGAACAUUUCCGCGGCGAACGAUGACGACGACAAUCAUGCGCAAUAUCGCCCGUCCAACGAUGGCGAUUUUUUAAGAGCGUUUACAUGCACGUAAUAUACGAUGACUGAUUCAAAGUACGUAUAUCGAGGUCAGAUUAUAAAAGAUGCUGUCGAUAAGAAAAUAUGUUACGCUGAUUACGUUACAGUGGAUGCGUUUUCUGGCUAACCAACAUUCUGACAAAUACGUCAGAAAAAUCGAACAGCUACCGUCGUUCUUCAGAUGUUUCAUUCGUCAAAACGUUCGCAACGUGCAUUCGUUUUGAGCAUAAACUGCGUACCCACUGAGGCAACAGUCAGGAACCUGCUGUUAGUGUUUCACGUUUCGAGAAAAUGCUGCAUGUUUCUUCGUAUUUCUGUUGUCAGUAACAAAAGUCGCUGCUUGCUACCUAUUUCCGGUUGGAGCGAUA